rnacentral:lncRNA from 1 species
GAAAAAGUUUCGGAGAUAGAACUAAAAGUGUUUCGGAGAAGUUUCGGAAAACCGGUGAAGUUUCCGCAAGAUUGGAAGAUCAUAAGUGCCAUUAGAAGCAGUGGGCAAGUACGCAACGUUGCCUCGCUUAUAUGGACAAACCGAGCAGGAGAUCGGCAUGCAUACUGCUUUCGUACACCUAAUAGACGGAUGAUGGCGGCGGCGGCGACACGGGCUUCACCAUCGUCUUCCAGCCGUUGGGGUCCGGCGAGGGUGGCUUCACCGGCGCCCUCUGGCCCAAGCGCCGGCCGGCUCCCACACCUUGCUCCCUCCUCUCUCGUGGCGUCCACUGCGCCGGCCGGCUACCCCGUGCACCCGCGUCGGCGUCGCCACCCAGUAGCAGCACUGCGACAACGGCCAUCGAUCCAUGCAAUUCAUACACACACCGACACAUAAAUUGGGAUUUGAAACUGGCAGAGCAAAUCAAGUCAUUGUAUAUACUCAUACCUGGAGGAGAACGCGGCGCCGGCGGGUACGUGGCCAGCAGGACCAGGAGGCCGGCGGCAAGGAGGACCGCGUGGACGGCCGUCCGGCGAUGCAUCGGUCGAGCUGUAGGUGGAUCCGAGACCACCACCGGACUCUGUAGGUGGAUCCGAGAUCAGUACAGCUCCGGCCAGUAGCGCGCCACUGAGAGACAGUGCAAGACUCUGGAGAUGUGAGCUAGCUAUGCACUGUACGAUUUGCUGCGGCGUUCUUUAAAUUCUCGACAGGGACUCUGAAUUUUGUCUCUACCCUUCCGUGUGUUGACCUCGACCUCGAGGUGUGCACGGCUGUUUGUCCUGUCCUGGAUCCGGCGAGUAUACGAUCGAUGCGUGCGCGCGGUGCGGCAUUUCUUAGCGGUAGUUGAACUUGGACACGACUUCCAAGUUACAAGUUCCAACUUCACUCUGUGUAUAGGACGAUUCUUAAUUAAGCAUGGAAGAUUAGCGUGGUACUACUACCCAAGUUUGCCCAUUGACAUGUGAAUGGCAUUUUCAGUCACCUUCACGUCUCUCAUGGAGUAUGCUAUCUAGUCUAUCGGGUCUUAAGCAUGAGACAACUUGCCUCUGAGUCUAUAUUAAAUUUAUAUCUCUGCCAUUGAUCUCAAAAGUUCAGACUAAUACAGAGAAGUGAACAGCAUAUUUGAGACUUUGAAGCAUGCAUGACAAUUUAUUUCACAGGAGCAGGAUUAUACUUGUAUUACACAUUAGUCAUAGACCAGGAGGUGCACGGAAGUCACCAUGGCAUGCUCCUACCCCGGACUCCCAACACCUAUUCAUUGGUAAUCGGCGGUGGUGGCGGCAUCAGGGGAAUCACCACCCCCGAGUCUUCGUUAGGGAUUGGUGAGGGAGGGAUCUUCAAUGGUAUCCUCUGUCCCAAGCGCCUCGCGGCUCCUAUCCCUGGCACAUUCCUCCCUUGACGAUGCAUCUUGUUCGUUUGACCCCAUGCACCAGUGUCGCCACCUAGCAUCAUCACCGUAUCAUACCGACAUACACAUCUAUUCAUCUAAAGAACGAAGCACGAAUUUGAAAACAACCAAAGAAAACUAUAUAUAUAUAUACCUGAAGCAUGACGCGGCGGGCCAUGUGCAGCGGCCACACAUGGAUAGGAAGCUAGCAGGGGCGGGAGAAGGACGACGACGAUGAUGAUGAGAAAACAUGUGACUCUCCGUUGGUACAUCUUGCCGAGAAGGUGAAGAAGAAAGAGAGGUGAAAUAGCUUACACAAUGGAAGGAGUAUUUAAUGCAUCGGUAGUGUGCAAAGCUGAAAAUCAAGGUGCAAUAUCCAAAGAAAUCAGGGAAAAAGGAUUUUUUUUUUUACAAACAAACUAAAUAAAAAACGGGGGCUCCAGUCAGUAGCCUAGUGACAGCUUGGUUUGUGCGUGAUGUGAGUUGUUNNNNNNNNNNNNNNNNNNNNNNNNNNNNNNNNNNNNNNNNNNNNNNNNNNNNNNNNNNNNNNNNNNNNNNNNNNNNNNNNNNNNNNNNNNNNNNNNNNNNNNNNNNNNNNNNNNNNNNNNNNNNNNNNNGCGUGAUGUGAGUUGUUCGUUGUCCGGUUGUGACGCUCUUGAAUCCCCAGCCAGACGCUAACGUGGAUCGGAUUUCAGCUCUGCUCGUCUUGCGUGUGUUGACGAUGCAUGGCUAGCUGUACGUUGCUUCCUAGGCCCACCCUCGUGAAACAUUGCUCUUCUUGCCAAUUGCCACGUGAUUGUAUAUUCCCUUCACCUUCACAUCAUACCUGACCAAACGGGCUGGGCAAAUCAAACCAGCCCGCAAGCACGCCGGCACGGCACGGUCUAAACGGGUCGGGCUUGGCACGCGGCACGUCAUGGGUUGGGCCCGGACCUGAAGGCUAGACACACGGGCCAGUAUGACGGCCCAUUUAAUUAUAUAUAUAUAUAUAUAGAUUUUUUAACAUAUAUAUACAUAUAACUAAAAUACAACCCAAUACACUUAAAAAUGAACCCAACAGACCGAAAAAUGAGCCCCAAUGUGCUAAACGGGUCAAUGUGUCGGCCCGUUUAGUAAUCGGGUCGUGCCUGGGUCUGAAGGUUAAACCCACGGGCUGGCACGACACGACCCGAUUACUAAAAGUGCCCCUGCGGGCCGUGCCAGGUCAGACACGUUUAGCACAGACCGUGCUCCUGCCAUGUCCGGCCGCCCGUUCGGCCAGGUACGCCUCACAUCUCUCACAAGGCAAAAUGGACCAAACUCGCAAACCCAUGACUAGGUUGGAUCAGAAUCAAAUUUAACCCACCAAGGCCCAUAACCUUCCUUAUUUAAUAAGUCGGUGUAUUACUAUUUAUUAAUCUUACAUAUGUCACCCUAGAAACAAAAUUAGGGGGUCACACAAAUAGCCAAACUAAAAAAUCAGAUUGCUCAUAACCUUUGUCAUUUAAUAAGUCUAUGUACUAUUAUUAUCUAAAAUUAAAAAAAACACUUCAUCAUCUCUCCUACUCGUCAAACCAAAUAUUCCAUCAGUUCUAAAAUAGAGAUAUAUUUAUUUUUUGAAACAUCAAAUUUCUUUAACUUUAAUCAAAUUCAUAGCCAAAAAUAUCGACAUCCACAGUACUAAAUAAAUAAAAUAUGAAUAUUCAUUUCAUGAUGAAUCCAAUGAAACCAAUUUGACAUAUUUCUCUAGAAAUUUGGUCAAACUGAGGUUUGAUUUAAAAAAACUAAUACUCCUUUGAUUACCAACGGUGUGGGAGUACAUCUUAUAUUUUAAAAUAGAAGAAGUGAAAAGAUUAUGAAAACUCAACUAACACCGACAGGGCGACAAAGCAUGCCCACCCCUUCUAGUAUGUACUAAAAGAUGAGAUAUCAAAAAAUGGAUCGUAUUAACUAUGUCCUCCUUUGAUUUACCAUUUUGCAAAAUGAAAAAUUAUCAAGCCAACUACCGUAGUUUUCUCCCCUACCCUAGGCGGCUAGGGUAAACUCUCCCUUUCAGGUUUCACCAGCGAGCCUAUGAAUUUGCCUCCCCUUUGCCAGCUACUUCGACGACCCGUGGCAGGGAGGGGUAGCCUGGUGCCUCAGCUCUUUAAGUUAACCUUUUCUAGUCCUUACAGGUGUGGUGUUCGGGCGGUUGUCAACAUUUCUAUGAGUUUGUCUUUCGGACUCUAUUUUCUUUGAGUUCGUCCGUCUGAACAUAGUCAACGGAGCUCCUUGGUAGAUUUCCGUCGUCUUCUUUGGAUGGAGAGGUUAAGAUUAUUUUUAUGUGGCAAGAUUUGAUGUCAGGUGUUUUAAAUCUAUGCAAGGGUUCAACGACGAUGACUAUAGCUUCAGUAUGCGCCGGUCCUUAUAAGCACGUGUACAAAGACUUUUCAGCUGUUAUCGAGCAACUUGAUUACUUGACGCUAGAUCUUAUCUUUGUCGCGAACAUAUUUGAUACCGUAGUUGAACUUUAUAAACUGGAGAUAAGUGAGCACCAUAUGAGUAGUUGCACUAUAUAGAAUUGACUCCAACUUAUUUGAUACUAGCAAAAGUGCUUUCGUACACGGCAGCUACUAGCUAGCCGUUCCUUAUCCUGUGGUGCAUAUCCAUGCAACACCAAGGAAAAAGCAAGAAAUAUUGGAUCGAAGGAGGCCG